rnacentral:rRNA from 1 species
AUGGUGUAUGGUGCUGCAUCUUCCUCCCUGACUGCCCUCAUCUCGGUCCUCGACGGCAAGACGGCGUCCACGACAAUCAUCUCCGAGGAGCUUCGCCACCUGUUCAAGCCGGAUUGGGACUGGGAGGUCGAUCCUAUAUCCGAUCGGGAGUUCACCGCCGUAUUCCCGGAUCCUGUCAGCCUCCGCUACGGCACCCACAUCGCGGAGUUGACCUUGGCGCUCCAUCAGCUCAAGGUUCACAUAUCGGUUCCCUCGGUGGAUCCUCUCGCCGUGGCCUCCCUAUCCACUGUGUGGGUUCAGAUUCGUGGGCUACCCCCCAUUGCUCAUGUGGAUGGUGCUAUCUGGGGCAUGUCCCGGCUCCUGGGAAAGAUUGUGUCGGUGGACGCUCUCUUGCUACUUAAGGGGCCGGCCGUUCAUGUCGAGCUCAAGACCCCGGAUCCCUCCAAGCUUCAGAUGACUUUGCGGAUGUUCUUCAACGAUGUGGGCUACGACCUCCAUAUUUCAGUCAAAGAUGAGCUCUCCACUUCUCCCGCUGGCCAUGAGGAUGGGUCGGACCCCGAGGUCGACCCGGAUCUUGAGGGGGAUGGUGGCCCCACUACUGGUCACGACCGGAACCGCCGUCCACGUGGUCGCUCCCCUAGCUCUGUCCGCUCGGACGACGACUCCGGGGACGACCAUGGGCCCUCGCCCCGAACCGGCGCGGCUGCUCCCCCUCCCUGCUCCCCCUCCCUGCUCCAAGCCUCUCGCCCCGGACUCCCGUGCGUUACUUCGGGAGCUGAGGAGGAGGACCUGGAGGCGAUCUCCGCUAUGCUUGACGAGGCGGCGAGCCUUCCUCCUGGCGCCGUCAUCUCGAUCGUCAUGGAGGCGCAGGUCUCCUCCUCAGACGGCAGCAUCAGCGACACGAGCAGCAUCCCUCCGGAUCAGCAGCGCUUGAUCUUCGCGGGGAAGCAGCUGGAGGACGGGCGCACUGUGGCCAACUACAACAUCCAGAAGGAGUCGACGCUGCACCUGGUGCUCCGCCUGCGGGGCGGCAGCCGCGGCCAGUACAUCAUCAUGGACCCCAGCCUCCUGCAGCUCGCCCUCAAGUACAAGGAGAAGAAGAUGAUCUGA